GCUAGAGUGCGGUAGGGGAGAUUGGAAUUCCUGGUGUAGCGGUGGAAUGCGCAGAUAUCAGGAGGAACACCGAUGGCGAAGGCAGAUCUCUGGGCCGUAACUGACGCUGAGGAGCGAAAGCAUGGGGAGCGAACAGGAUUAGAUACCCUGGUAGUCCAUGCCGUAAACGUUGGGAACUAGAUGUAGGGCCUGUUCCACGGGUUCUGUGUCGUAGCUAACGCAUUAAGUUCCCCGCCUGGGGAGUACGGCCGCAAGGCUAAAACUCAAAGGAAUUGACGGGGGCCCGCACAAGCGGCGGAGCAUGCGGAUUAAUUCGAUGCAACGCGAAGAACCUUACCAAGGCUUGACAUAUGGAAGAACGGGUCAGAAAUGAUUCACUCUUUGGACACUUCUAUACAGGUGGUGCAUGGUUGUCGUCAGCUCGUGUCGUGAGAUGUUCGGUUAAGUCCGGCAACGAGCGCAACCCUCGUCCUAUGUUGCCAGCACGUAAUGGUGGGAACUCAUGGGAUACUGCCGUGGUCAACACGGAGGAAGGUGGGGAUGACGUCAAAUCAUCAUGCCCCUUAUGUCUUGGGCUUCACGCAUGCUACAAUGGCCGGUACAAUGGGCUGCGAUACCGCGAGGUGGAGCGAAUCCCAAAAAGCCGGUCUCAGUUCGGAUUGGGGUCUGCAACUCGACCCCAUGAAGUCGGAGUCGCUAGUAAUCGCAGAUCAGCAACGCUGCGGUGAAUACGUUCCCGGGCCUUGUACACACCGCCCGUCAAGUCAUGAAAGUCGGUAACACCCGAAGCCGGUGGCCUAACCC
rnacentral:rRNA from 1 species